AUUGAACGCUGGCGGCUGGCCUAACACAUGCAAGUCUAGCGAGCGGCGGACGGGUGAGUAAUGUAUGGGGACUGCCCGAUAGAGGGGGAUCACUACUGGAAACGGUGGCUAAUACCCCCUACUGUCGGAUAACCCAUAUGGGAUUAGCUAGUAGGUAAGGUAAUGGCUUACCUAUGCGACGAUCCCUAGCUGGUCUGAGAGGAUGAUCAGCCACACUGGGACUGCGACACGGCCCUGACUCCUACGGGGGCAGCAGUGGGGAAUAUUGCACAAUGGGCGUAAGGCUGAUGCAGCCAUGCCGCGGGUGUGAAGCAGGCCCUAGGGUUGUAAAGUACUGGCAGUCGGGGGGCGUUACCGACAGAAGAAGCAGCGGCUAACUCCGUGCCAGCAGCCGCGGUAAUAC
rnacentral:rRNA from 1 species